CGAAAUGCGAUAAGUAAUGUGAAUUGCAGAAUUCAGUGAAUCAUCGAAUCUUUGAACGCACCUUGCGCUCCUUGGUAUUCCUUGGAGCAUGCCUGUUUGAGUAUCAUGAAAUCUUCAAAGUAAAUCUUUUGUUAACUCAAUUGGUUUCUACUUUGGUAUUGGAGGUCUUUGCAGCUUCACACCUGCUCCUCUUUGUUCAUUAGCUGGCUCUCAGUGUUAUGCUUGGUUCCACUCGGUGUGAUAAGUUAUCUAUCGCUGAGGACACUGUAAAAGGUGGCCAAGGUAAAUGCAGAUGAACCGCUUCUAAUAGUCCAUUGACUUGGACAAUACUUUUAUGAUCUGAUCUCAAAUCAGGUAGGACUACCCGCUGAACUUAAGC
rnacentral:misc_RNA from 1 species